rnacentral:rRNA from 1 species
CCUACGGGAGGCAGCAGUGGGGAAUAUUGCACAAUGGGGGAAACCCUGAUGCAGCGACGCCGCGUGAGUGAAGAAGUAUUUCGGUAUGUAAAGCUCUAUCAGCAGGGAAGAAGCAAGACGGUACCUGACUAAGAAGCCCCGGCUAACUACGUGCCAGCAGCCGCGGUAAUACGUAGGGGGCAAGCGUUAGCCGGAUUUACUGGGGGUAAAGGGAGCGUGGACGGUAUGGCAAGUCUGAAGUGAAAGCCCAGGGCUUAACCCUGGGACUGCUUUGGAAACUGUUAGACUAGAGUGCGGGAGAGGUAAGUGGAAUGCCUGGUGUAGCGGUGAAAUGCAUAGAUAUUAGGAGGAACACCAGUGGCGAAGGCGGCUUACUGGACAGUAACUGACGUUGAGGCACGAAAGCGUGGGUAGCGAACAGGAUUAGAUACCCUAGUAGUC